UGCUCUUUCUGCAGCUCCCUCCGGAGAGGCAGGAAGAACCUCAGCCUGCCUGCUGGUCCCUGGGCAGUGGGGCAGACUUCCAGCCCCUGGAGGCAGCUGACCCUGAGGCAGAGGCCCCAGGAGGCCUCACCCUGAGGUCCCUGGGCCAUUGUGCUUUUCUUGGAAGCCACAGAAGCCAGAGCCCUUCAUGCUCCGAAAUGCGACAAAGAUUCUUAGAAGAUGACAAGUGGCCUGGAAUGAAAUGCUUGGCAAGAUGAAGAAUCACCUAGAAGACGUACUCUGGGGGUAUCUAUGAGGAAGUUUCCAGAGAAGUUAUCCUGAGGAGGAAGGACACACCCUUCACUGACCCCAUGAUCUGGGGUUCUGGCUUCAAUUCCCGCUUCCAGGUCCCUGCCUUUAGUGCGUGGCUCUUCAUGACGGACUGUAAGCUGUAAGAAGAAAUAAGCCCUUGGUGUCGUGGUACCAUCACAGUUACUGUCUGCUUUGUCUUCUGAGGUAGAGACUCUCACUGACCUGGACUGUGCCAACUAUGCAAACUGGCUGGCCAGUGAGCCCCAGACAUCCUCCUGUGCUAGGAUUGUAAGUGUGAAUCACCCCAUGGCUUUCUUAUAACAUGGGUCCAGGGGACUGAACUCAGGUCCUUAUGUUUUCAAGGAAUUCUACACUAACGGAGCCACCUGCCGGCCCCUCUUCUUUAUGUCGUUAUGCAAAUACUAUGAGCAGUCUUUGUUGUGUGUUUUUAACUUGAAAAACAGUAUUUUAACUUGGCAAACCCCUCCCAGACGUGGCCCACGGAGCUGAAAACAGAGACACUCCCAACUGUGGCCACAUGGAGCCAAGGAUAGAGAUAUGACCCAUCGGUGAUUUGGAAGAUGAGGGGAAGGAGUUAAGGGCCGGUUAUUACCAGAGCCUGGAAGCAGGAGCCUCUUGCAGGAUUGCAAGGCUGCCCCAUGCACACAGGACUCCAGGCCUCCUGAACCGUCAGGGAGCCCAUGGUCUAAAGCCAUGAUCCUGGUUAUUUACUGUGGUGACCAUAAAGUCCUCUCCCAUGACCCUGACCUCAUGCUUUUACACUACCGGAGGGCACAAGAUGUAUAACUCCUGAGACCGGAUGGUUCCAGCAGGGGCUUUUAAGCCUGUAGUCCCUAGGACCCUCUCAGAGGUCCAAAGACCAGUUAAAGAGGAACGGAGGGCCAAUGGAGUGGCUCAUGGACAAGGAAUCUUGACACCAAGCCUGACGGCCUGAGAUCCAUCCCCAGGACCAACAUGGUGGAAGGAGAGAACCAACUUCUGUAGGUUAUCCUCAGACCUCCACAGGUGCACUAUGUUGCAUGCUAACACACACACACACACACACACACACACACACACACACACACAAAUAAGCAUAUACAUGUAAAAAAAUCAAAAAAGGAAAAAGCUAGAGACACGGCUCAGUGGCCUUGUGGUUAGGAGCUCUUGCUGCUCUUGUAAGGGACCCGAGUUUGUUUCCCAGCACCUAUAUUGAGAGUCUCACACACAAGCACCUAUUAUUCCAACUCCAGGAGAUCUGCUACCCUCUUCUGACUACCAUAGGCACUUGUACAGCACACCACACACACACACACACACACACACACACACACACACCACACACAAACGAAACUAAAAAUCAAUCUUAAUAAAAUAAAAAUGAAGAGAUCGCCUUGCCGUGUUGCAGUUGGAAUGGGAAAUGGCCCUGCGGUUUGAAUACUUGGUGGCAGCAGGGAUGAUGCUUAUGGAGUUUGUGGAAGCUUUGAGACUGCAGACACAGAUGAUGGAGUUGGGUCACUAAGUGUGGGUCUUUGAGGGCAAUGGCCUGGUUCUGAUUUGAGGCUUCUAGUUCAGUUUUCUGUAUCCUGAUCUGCCGACGUAUGAGAGCAACUAUGCUCUAAGACCAUGAAGUCCACCCUCCCUUCCCUACCAUGGUGUAAUGAAACUGUAGGCCAAAAUAAACUCUUCCCUUAAGUA